GUUUUAAUAGUUUAUACUAAAAAAUUCUGAUUUUGUAAAUCAGAGAAGGUCCCCCUUAAAACU
rnacentral:tRNA from 1 species